UGGAGGCAGCAGUGGGGAAUUUUCCGCAAUGGGCGAAAGCCUGACGGAGCAAGACCGCGUGGGGGAAGAAGGUUUGUGGAUUGUAAACCCCUUUUGAUUGGGAAGAUGAUGACGGUACCAAUCGAAUCAGCCUCGGCUAACUCCGUGCCAGCAGCCGCGGUAAUACGGAGGAGGCAAGCGUUAUCCGGAAUUAUUGGGCGUAAAGCGUCCGUAGGUGGAUGAGCGUGUCAGUUGUUAAAGGAUGCGGCUUAACCGCAUAAAGGCGAUUGAAACUGUUUAUCUAGAGUGCGAUAGGGGCAAGGGGAAUUCCCAGUGUAGCGGUGAAAUGCGUAGAUAUUGGGAAGAACACCGGUGGCGAAAGCGCCUUGCUGGGUCUGCACUGACACUGAGGGACGAAAGCUAGGGGAGCGAAAGGGAUUAGAUACCCCGGUAGC
rnacentral:rRNA from 1 species